AGCGUAGGCGGGCUGUUAAGUCCGUGGUGAAAGCCCUCAGCUCAACUGAGGAACUGCCAUGGAUACUAUCAGUCUUGAAUGUCGUUGAGGUUUGCGGAAUGGGUCAUGUAGCGGUGAAAUGCAUAGAUAUGACCCGGAACACCAAUUGCGAAGGCAGCAGGCUAAACGAAUAUUGACGCUGAGGCUCGAAAGCGUGGGGAUCAAACAGGAUUAGAUACCCUGGUAGUCCACGCCCUAAACGAUGAUUACUCGACAUACGUGAUAUGACAAUGUGUGUCUGAGCGAAAGCAUUAAGUAAUCCACCUGGGAAGUACGACCGCAAGGUUGAA
rnacentral:rRNA from 1 species